GCCUCGGUGGUGUAGUGGUAGCACGCGCUCCGCCCCCGGUAUGGGCAAAACGCGAGUACAACUCCCGUUUGAGGUC